GUGCUCACUUCAGCAGCACAUACAUUAACAUUGGAAUGAUACAGAGAAGAUUAGCAUGGUCCCUGUGCAAGGAUGACAUGCAAAUUCCUAAAGUGUUCCAUAUUUUU
ensembl:snRNA U6 U6 spliceosomal RNA